CUGGGCUGUGAUGAAAUUUUCUGCAGGUACACUAACUUCGAACUCGUAUGUGUAGCUGACGACUAGCAACAUAUCGAGAGAGAACGUAGAUAUGCCACCGAUUUAGAACGCUAUUGCCACAUUAUGUUGGCGAAAAUUGUGAGGACGAAUAGGACGAGCAUGCAUCCUGAGUUGCAUUGUGUUUGUUGUUUGCGCACAAAAAUGCUUCUCUCACCCUUAUUCUAAUAAUGGGUGAUUGCGAACAAACUUGCUUUUCUCAUCUUUAUUCCGAUAAUAAAUAAUUGGAAAAAUGUGCGAAGCAUUGCUGUCCUAUAAGAAAAUUUUUAGUUUUUUUUGUUAUGUCCUUUAGACAUGUGUUUAUGUGGCAUGUGAUUCUUCUUAGUUUGACCGCUAGUGCAACUUGGGUUUGUUUUCGUGCUUGUGUGCUGGUAGAAUGCAGGUAGUUUGUUUGCAUAAACCCAAAGCUAGGUCAUGUCCUCGUUUAGUGAACCAUAACCCAAAUCGUCAUCAAUCCUCCAAAAAUUCCUCCAAGUCUCCAAGCAUGGAUGAGUUCGAGUUUCUCGUUACUACUCCAUGACCGCUUAGAUAAGCUUUUUAUUGGAUGUAAAAUGAACGCAGACUUAAAAUAAGGAUCUCGAGUACAUGUUCUCGUUGUUUAAUAUGUGACUCUUUUGUAGUCAUUUUCCCUCCAAAAUCAUGCCUUUGGUCGCUUGGUGCAAGUUGAUGUUUCUAUUCCACUCUGUAUCUUUUGGGGACCAUCUCGUUAUUUUAUCAACCUAACCCAGGAAAGCCAUGUCCAAUCAUUUUCUUGAACUGGAUGUCUUUGGGUUCCUCAUAUCUCUUGAAGGCAUACCAAUUUAAUCUUCUGAUCAUUUUCCCUCUAAACCUAAUCAGACAUUAAUCCUUGACUUUGUAAUCUCGGCGAUGGGCAUAGAAAUAUGCUUGGCGCUGAAUUAAGAGUCUCCCAUCGUACUCCCUCAUCAACCAAUUUAGGUUUUGGCAAUCCCGUGUUCCUUCAUCGGGCCAGGACCUAUUUGGCUCUCUACCUGUAACCAUUCUUAUAGGUGGAGUCUCUUUUGUAUAUUAUCAUCCUGGCUCAGUCUAUUUGUUACCGCGUGAGAUUUUUUAUUGGUUACGUCUGGUAAUGGUGUUAUGACUAAAACUGGCGGUGCCGCGACGAAACCGAGGGCCUCCUGUGGGUGAUCAACACAUGGUUGCGCUACUUGGCACGCGCUGGUAUCACAGUUAGUAGUCAUAAUCCAUUAUGAGAUUAUAUCGAUAUGUUAUCUUUGAGCAAAUUGUUCUUACCACGUGAGAUUCAUUAUCGGUGCCAGUUCGGUAAUGGUGUCAUGAUUAAGGACUUAUGGUGCCGCAGCGAAACUGAGAGCCCCUUGUGAAUGUACACGCAAGGUUAUGCUGCUUGGCGCAUGCUGGUAUCAAGGUAUCUAGUCAUGAUCCAUUAUGGAACUACAUUAAUAUAUUAUCUUUCGUGGACUUUUCCCUUGAAACGAUUUUUGUGUUGUUUGCUGAAACAAUCAAACAAUAUAUGCCAUCACUAUUGGAUCAAAAGAGUAUAUAACUCUGAUGUAUUCUUUAAGUAAAAUUCUUACCAGUUCCGAAGUCUUCAUAAAAAAAUCGAAACCUAUCUGUAUCUAUCCGUGUAAAAAAAUUCACCCCUUUCAUGUGUGGACUAUUUUCUCUUAAUUUUGGUGGUGACUACAAUACAAGUUCCUUUUACGUCCUUUGUGUAAAGGUGAAGCCUUGAAGCUUUUUAGUGUUGAGAGAUAAUUAAUUGGUCCUCUUCAUGGAGAAAGUAAUUUACCACUAGGAGUUUGUUCAUUCGCUCUUUUAUUUAAUCCAUGUAUUUCCGAACCAAGUUAUUUCAUCUCGCAUGAAGGAACGAAAAAUGAACAACAUGACCAAAUGGAUUUUCACCCAAAUGCAUGAUCAACUGUUAACAAAUGUGAACUCUCAACCCUGGUUUGCCGAUGGAUAAUAAGAAGACUUGCUCAAUGUCAAAAGUAGUUCAACAAGUUGGUUUUACUAACUUGUAACUGCCCAAUGAACAGAGGUUGAGUUUAGAGAUCGUUUUAUCGAGUUGUCCAAACUCACUUAGUUCAGCCUAUCCUAAAGAAACCCUUAUCAAGAUCAAGUGAAGGUUAUGAACAUAUGCGCAGAUCUUGUGCCAUAUUGGAUUAGAUUAUGAGCGUAUGUAUCUUAACUUUACCUUGUUGGCCGAGGCACUUUGCCAUCCUCAGCUGACUGAUUACAGCCUGACCACAGUUCUAGUCGUGCCUCAAUCGCCUCACAUGUGAUUUUCUAACAUGUGUGAUCAAGCCGAGCCAUGCUUAGUGCUUGAUAAAAUGGAUUGGACACGAGGUCAACAUCUACAGAUCCCUUCAUUCCUUGAAUCUCUAUCAUUUUUCUUGGACUUGGAUUCCCUGGCUAACCACGAGUUAAUUGUGAUAUUAUUCGACAUCCAUCCUCGUCUUAUGUGCUAGGAAUUGCUAUCCAUUUGUCCACCGUUUUUAACAGACCCAGAUAGUACAGUGUUAUCAGAAAAAAACAAACUGCACACAUGGAACCUUAUGUGUUCCUUUGUCAGUUAUAGCUUGUUUGUUGACGUCUCUAGUUAAAUUAAAGUGGUAUGUGCUAUACCCAUUAGAGAAGCAACAAAUUGAGAUGCUCGUCUUUGCUUGGAAUUAGUUUAUGCUAUCACUAUUAUGGAUAGGGUUACACGCCUAUCUACUCUUAGAAGUCUUUCGUUCUGAAUCUCGGGACGAGAUUCUUUUAAGGGGGGAAGGUUGUAACACCCCAGGUGUUUGUCUCCCGUUCAACAGCGACUAUGGAUUUAAGCGUGGGAUAUCAGUAAAUAAAUUGGACACUAAAUUUUAAUCAUAUUUGUUUAUCACGAUUUUGAUAUCGUGUCUGUUUUCAUCUAUCUGGACUCUUCCUAAAAAAUUUCGUGAUGAUCAGAACAUAUUUGUUCUAAAAAUUAGCGAGUCCUGUGAUUAUUUAAAAUUCAUUAAUUGUGCAAAUAUGAAUUUAGAAACUUAGUUCAGUCCUCCGAUUUUGUCUCCCAAAUAAAAUUUAUUAGAAGCUCGGCGACAAGAGUGCUGAAUACGAGAUUAAAUUAAACCGAGAUAAUUAGGGCUGAUAUUAAGCAUUCGUAAUUAAUCUGUUUCCCUGUUCAGACUACGGAUAAAAUUAUCGGGUUUCGAGUCGAAUCAAAUUAAGGACAGUCUUAAUAUAUCAAAGCUGAUCUCGUUUGGUUUGGUCCGUGUGUUCCUCGUCCAGAUCCAAAUUUUUGAAUAUAGAUAAUGGGUAGUAGUUAUUUGACACUGAGAAUAUUCACCAAGUUGAACGCUAUCUAAAUAUUGUCAUCGAUCUUGUUUUGGUUUGAACAGUUCCUAUAUCUUUUAAACACUAAAUCCUGAAACUGUGUUCAUCCGUGUGAAUGUGUUUAGAAAAUGAGAAUGAAAUUUCACUUUCCCUUGCUCACGUCGACCACCAGGCUUCUAGCCUCGCCUUUCUCCAGUCCAUCUCCUUGUGGAUAUUUUCACCGUUUCUAUCUCCUCACGCCACCUCUCCUCAAUUCAGGCACAUGUCCACAUCUCCUGCUCCCUCCGUGUACCACGUCGGCUCCCUGGUCAUUGAUUUUUUCCACCGCUUGAACGUCCAGGCUGUGGCCUUAUCCCCAUCGUGCACCCUCUGUUAUUCACGCGCUCAGCGCUCAGCUCAUCCUCACUCGGCCAUCGCAUGGCUGCAUGCCUUCUCUGGCCGUCCCUGUUCCCCUCGCCCCUCCCUGGUGAUCGCGCGCCGGGCGCCUUGUCCUGCUCGGCCAGAACAGACUGCCAACCAUGGCGUUGGUCCUCAACAUCUAGGCGUCGGUCGCCCCAGCUUCAUCUUCCUCAGCUCGCCCCUGCGCGCGCUCCUCCCCCAUGACGAACUCACCCGCAACUCCCUGCCUGCUCGAGCUCACCCAGGCUGCGACCUUGCCAAACUGCACAGUCCCUGCUCUCUUUCUCCAGCCGUACAUACACCAGUCCAGCUCCCUUGCCAUCACCCAUGGUUGCCUCUCCUUGGCCCCCUUCCUGCAGCAAACCCCAUCUCUGCUGGCACCCUGAUCUUCAGUCAUCCCCCUUGGCCGACGUCCUCCCCAUUUUCUACAGGUACGCUAGCUGAAAAUCGUGCGAAGCGAAGGGUGUGGAUCAAAGCAACCCACAAGACGAUGUCGACCGAUGAUCCUGAAGCUAGAUGGACUAAGCGGGUGUCAGAAUAAAAGUUGAUCGUCAAAUGGCCAUCAUCUAACAACACUAACAUAGUGUUAUCCCAGUCAAGCCCCGGUGCAUUUGCCACCUCCUUCUGUUUUAAAAACUUUUAUCACUUACCUGCUGCAUUAGGUGAUAGGAGUUGUGUGAAUAAACAAUUGAUGCAUUACCAUUCCUUGGAAUUUGAUUAUCCUCCUUGCUACCUGUUUUAUAAAGAGAACUAAUGAGGCUUAGCCCUGCCUAGAGAACUAAAACUU